GGCUUCGUAGCUCAGCUGGUAGAGCGCUUUCCGCGUUCAGGCACGGUUUUUCUGUUGCUGGUUCGAAUCCAGCCGAAGCCC
rnacentral:tRNA from 1 species